ACCGAAAGGUGGUCUAAUACUUCAUAAUAUCCAUCUCGUAUGGAUUAAAGCUUUAUGCGCUUUGGGAGGGGCCUGCGUAACAUUAGCUAGUUGGUGAGGUAAAAGCUCACCAAGGCUUCGAUGUUUAACUGGUUUGAGAGGAUGACCAGUCACACUGGGACUGAGAUACGGCCCAGACUCCUACGGGAGGCAGCAGUAAGGAAUCUUCCACAAUGGGGCAACCCUGAUGGAGCAAUACCGCGUGCAGGAUGAAGCGUUUCGGCGUGUAAACUGCUUUAUCACCGAAGAUUAUGACUGUAGGUGAAGAAUAAGGACCGGCUAACUACGUG
rnacentral:rRNA from 1 species